GGCGGCGUGCCUAACGCAUGCAAGUCGCACGAGGCGCAAGCCGAGUGGCGGACGGGUGAGUAACACGUAGGAACCUGCCCAGAAGUGGGGGACAACUCUCCGAAAGGGGAGCUAAUACCGCAUACGGUCUACGGACCAAAGCUUCGGCGCUUCUGGAGGGGCCUGCGGUGGAUUAGCUUGUUGGUGGGGUAAUGGCCUACCAAGGCGACGAUCCAUAGCUGGUCUGAGAGGAUGAUCAGCCACACUGGGACUGAGACACGGCCCAGACUCCUACGGGAGGCAGCAGCGAGGAAUUUUGCACAAUCGACGAAAGUCGGAUGCAGCAACGCCGCGUGGGGGAAGAANGCUUUCGAGUUGUAAACCCCUUNUGUGAGGGAAGAACAUCUGACGGUACCUCACGAAUAACUCACGG
rnacentral:rRNA from 1 species